GUUGUAUGGUUAAGUGACUAAGCGUACACGGUGGAUGCCUUGGCAGUCAGAGGCGAUGAAAGACGUAGUAACUUGCGAUAAGCCCAGAUUAGGUAGUAACAACCAUUUGAGUCUGGGAUUUCUGAAUGGGGAAACCCACGUGCAUAAGCACGUAUCCUUACCUGAAUACAUAGGGUAAGGAGGCGAACCGGGGGAACUGAAACAUCUAAGUACCCCGAGGAAAAGAAAUCAACCGAGAUUCCGAAAGUAGCGGCGAGCGAAAUUGGACUAGCCCUUAAGCUUUACACGCGUUAGACGAACGGUCUGGAAAGUCCGACGAUACAGGGUGAUAGUCCCGUAGUUGACGACGUGUGUUCAGUGAAAUCGAGUAGGGCGGGACACGUGAUAUCCUGUCUGAAUAUGGGGGGACCAUCCUCCAAGGCUAAAUACUACUGACUGACCGAUAGUGAACCAGUACCGUGAGGGAAAGGCGAAAAGAACCCCUGUGAGGGGAGUGAAAUAGAACCUGAAACCGUGUACGUACAAGCAGUAGGAGCAGGCUUUGUCCUGUGACUGCGUACCUUUUGUAUAAUGGGUCAGCGACUUAUAUUCAGUGGCAAGGUUAACCAUCUAGGGGAGCCGUAGGGAAACCGAGUCUUAACUGGGCGUUCAGUCUCUGGAUAUAGACCCGAAACCAGGUGAUCUAGCCAUGGGCAGGUUGAAGGUUGAGUAACAUCAACUGGAGGACCGAACCGACUAAUGUUGAAAAAUUAGCGGAUGACUUGUGGCUAGGGGUGAAAGGCCAAUCAAACCUGGAGAUAGCUGGUUCUCCCCGAAAGCUAUUUAGGUAGCGCCUCGGACGAAUACUACUGGGGGUAGAGCACUGUUAAGGCUAGGGGGUCAUCCCGACUUACCAACCCUUUGCAAACUCCGAAUACCAGUAAGUACUAUCCGGGAGACACACGGCGGGUGCUAACGUCCGUCGUGGAGAGGGAAACAACCCAGACCGCCAGCUAAGGUCCCAAAUUACUACUAAGUGGGAAACGAUGUGGGAAGGCUCAGACAGCCAGGAUGUUGGCUUAGAAGCAGCCAUCAUUUAAAGAAAGCGUAAUAGCUCACUGGUCGAGUCGGCCUGCGCGGAAGAUGUAACGGGGCUAAGUAGUAAACCGAAGCUGCGGCAAUAUACUUUUGUAUAUUGGGUAGGGGAGCGUUCUGUAAGCGGUUGAAGGUGUGUGGUAACGCAUGCUGGACGUAUCAGAAGUGCGAAUGCUGACAUGAGUAACGAUAAAGGGGGUGAAAAACCUCCUCGCCGGAAGACCAAGGGUUCCUGUCCAACGUUAAUCGGGGCAGGGUAAGUCGACCCCUAAGGCGAGGCCGAAAGGCGUAGUCGAUGGGAAACGGGUUAAUAUUCCCGUACUUCUUACAAUUGCGAUGGGGGGACGGAGAAGGCUAGGUGGGCCUGGCGACGGUUGUCCAGGUUCAAGUGCGUAGGCUUAAGAGUUAGGUAAAUCCGGCUCUUUUUAAGGCUGAGACACGACGUCGAGCACCUACGGGUGUGAAGUCAUUGAUGCCAUGCUUCCAGGAAAAGCCUCUAAGCUUCAGAUUGUAAGGAAUCGUACCCCAAACCGACACAGGUGGUCGGGUAGAGAAUACCAAGGCGCUUGAGAGAACUCGGGUGAAGGAACUAGGCAAAAUGGUACCGUAACUUCGGGAGAAGGUACGCUCUCGACGGUGAAGUCCCUUGCGGAUGGAGCUAUUGAGAGUCGCAGAUACCAGGUGGCUGCAACUGUUUAUUAAAAACACAGCACUGUGCAAAAUCGUAAGAUGACGUAUACGGUGUGACGCCUGCCCGGUGCCGGAAGGUUAAUUGAUGGGGUUAGACUUCGGUCGAAGCUCUUGAUCGAAGCCCCGGUAAACGGCGGCCGUAACUAUAACGGUCCUAAGGUAGCGAAAUUCCUUGUCGGGUAAGUUCCGACCUGCACGAAUGGCGUAAUGAUGGCCACGCUGUCUCCACCCGAGACUCAGUGAAAUUGAAAUCGCUGUGAAGAUGCAGUGUACCCGCGGCUAGACGGAAAGACCCCGUGAACCUUUACUACAGCUUGGCACUGAACAUUGACCCUACAUGUGUAGGAUAGGUGGGAGGCUUUGAAGCACGUACGCCAGUAUGUGUGGAGCCGUCCUUGAAAUACCACCCUUGUAGUGUUGAUGUUCUAACGUUGACCCCUAAUCGGGGUUGCGGACAGUGCCUGGUGGGUAGUUUGACUGGGGCGGUCUCCUCCCAAAGAGUAACGGAGGAGCACGAAGGUGGGCUAAUCACGGUUGGACAUCGUGAGGUUAGUGCAAUGGCAUAAGCCCGCUUGACUGCGAGAAUGACAAUUCGAGCAGGUGCGAAAGCAGGUCAUAGUGAUCCGGUGGUUCUGAAUGGAAGGGCCAUCGCUCAACGGAUAAAAGGUACUCCGGGGAUAACAGGCUGAUACCGCCCAAGAGUUCAUAUCGACGGCGGUGUUUGGCACCUCGAUGUCGGCUCAUCACAUCCUGGGGCUGAAGUCGGUCCCAAGGGUAUGGCUGUUCGCCAUUUAAAGUGGUACGCGAGCUGGGUUUAGAACGUCGUGAGACAGUUCGGUCCCUAUCUGCCGUGGGCGUUGGAAGAUUGAAGGGGGCUGCUCCUAGUACGAGAGGACCGGAGUGGACGAACCUCUGGUGUUCGGGUUGUGUCGCCAGACGCAUUGCCCGGUAGCUAAGUUCGGAAUCGAUAACCGCUGAAAGCAUCUAAGCGGGAAGCGAGCCCUGAGAUGAGUCUUCCCUGAUACUUUAAGUAUCCUAAAGGGUUGUCGGAGACUACGACGUUGAUAGGUCAGGUGUGUAAGUGCUGUGAGGCAUUGAGCUAACUGAUACUAAUUGCCCGUGAGGCUUAACCAUACAACACCCAAGGGGUUU
rnacentral:rRNA from 1 species